AAGGUCUUGGUCUUGAACCUCAUAUUACCUAAAAUCAUUUGUUUAUACAUGCAAGCCUCACCACAACGGUGAAACAGCCACAGCAACUCAGAGCCGGCAUCAGUCUAUCUUACCAUAACGCCAAGCAAUAGCCACACCCCCACGGGCAACACAGCAGUAGUUAACAUUAGGCCAUAAGUGAAAACUUGACCAAGCGAAAUGAACAAAGAGCCGGUUAAUCUCGUGCCAGCGACCGCGGUUACACGAUAGGCUCAAGAUAAUAUUAACGGCGUAAAAAUGACUAAAACCAACAGUUAUAACUUUAGGGUAAAAACCAAACUAGGCUGUAAAAAGCCAUAAGUCACAUUAAUUCCCCCCCCUAACACCACACAACUUUGACUCAUGAAAGCUAGGACACAAACUAAGAUUAGAUACCCUACUAUGCCUAGCCGUAAUACACAAUUAAAUUACCAAUUGUCCGCCAAACAACUACGAGUCAUACUUAAAACUUAAAAGACUUGACGGUACUUCACCACGACCUAGAGGAGCCUGUCUAAUAACCGACAAUCCACGAUUAACCCCACCCUUUCUCGCCCAACAGUCUAUAUACCGCCGUCGCCAGCUUACCUUGUAAAAGAAAUAAAGUGAGCCAAAGAGUCCUACACUAAAACGACAGGUCGAGGUGUAACCAAUGAAAGGGACCAAGAUGGGCUACAUUCUCCAGCCGAGAAUACGAAUAGCACUAUGAAACUAGUGCCUGAAGGCGGAUUUAGCAGUAAGAUAAGAAUAAAACACCUAACUGAACACAACGCAAUGAAGUGCGCACACACCGCCCGUCAUCCCUGCCACUAUAUUACUCAUAUCAAUAAACCAACUAAAAAAAUCAAACAGGGCAAGUCGUAACAUGGUAAGUGUACUGGAAAGUGUACUUAGAAA
rnacentral:ncRNA from 1 species